rnacentral:lncRNA from 1 species
CUCCCCCGGCCGCCCCCCGCGCCCAUCGCCGGGGACCUGGGUCACCCCAUCUGCCUCUGCAGGGUCUGUUCCACCUGCCACACGCCUGGCAAAUUGUUCAAGGAGUCGAGGAGAUAUUCAUAGGGUUACAGAAAUUAGGGCUUUUAAUCCCGUAUUUGCACGACUCAGCUCAUUUGGUGGGAAAAGCAACGCGCAAACUCUCCCACGGAUCGGAGUUGGAAGUGCUGGGUUUUUAAAAACCAGGAGUUUAAACGUGGAAAGGUUAGUGGGAGUGAAUAGGAUGCAGGCAACUGAAGAGCUCUCUCGAAAAGAGUACACUGGGUGAAGAAUCUCCAACUCCACAUAUAGCCUCUACUAAAAUUAAUUUGAAACCUUUAAUAGUUUCUUUUUAAAAAUUAAAUUGGGCUGUGCCAUUACCUGAUUUUAGCAAAAACUCUUUCAGAGAGACCUUAGGAAUGGAGAGUUCUCUAUUCUCCCUAAGCUUUGGUUCGGGGCUGCAGGGACUCACGCCAUUCUGGGGUCCCCUCUCCGAAUUUUCGGCGGCGAGUUUAGUUUGUAAGACCUUUCUAAAGAGUAAAUUAUUUCUGUGAGGCGAAGACAGAAACGUCGAGGCACUUCAGAAGCACCAGAAGGAGGACUUCUCCUUUUUCUUCACCCAAGAGGACGACGCUGGCACUUGAGCAGAUAUUUGUAACUGUAAACGUGUAAAUGGUACAGAUUUGGCUAAUGGAGAUUGGUGCAUCACCAUUACCCUAGAAAAGGCUGAAUAAAAAAUUUAAGGGAUAAAUAAACCGGAAAAAGGCAAAACAUGUCAGGUUGACUUGCAGGAUGAGACCAGGAAAUAUGAGCUGGUAGGGCUGAGCCCUUUUUACCACGUACAUAUGGUUACACCUCUGGUUUCCUGCGGAACCGUCAGCGCCUGUGCAGUGCCAUUAAAAAAAAAAAAAAUAUUUUUGGGACGUUCCAAAACUGAAAGCCGGAGCUUAAUUUAUUCUGGGGACUUGAAAGGAACGAGGUCUUCCUUUGUGUCUGAUGCUCCGGGGGAGGACUCAGCUCACCUCGGAGGCCUCCAUCAGCUGCACGAUAUUAUCUCAUUGAUCAUAAAGUGCCUCGUUGGGAAGGCAAUUCUCGAGCAUCCCCAGCACAUGGAGAAGGAGGAGUAAGAAAUGCCACCGCUGGCAGCAGUGCCUGGAAGCUCUGCGUUCAGCGGGGGCCCCAGCGUGCGAGGCGGCUCCUCCCGGCCUCGGCCUCCUCCACCGGGGAUGUGGUGGCCGAGAGGCAGCGGGGACACGGAGCCCGGUGGCGGGUGCUGAGGGGGAAGGGCUG